ensembl:misc_RNA Metazoa_SRP Metazoan signal recognition particle RNA
GCCAGGCAUGGUGGCGUGUGCCUGUAAUCCCAGCUACGCAGGAGGCUGAGGUAGGAGGAUCACCUGAGGCCAGGAGGCAGAGGUUGUAGUGAGCCAAGCUCAUGCCACUGCACUCCAGCCUGGGCAACAAGGUGAGACCCUGUCUCAA